rnacentral:lncRNA from 1 species
GGGAGGAGGUGGGACUACAGGGAAAAUUUCCCUGAGGAACAUUCUAGGGACAAGAAAGAUGCUCUCCCAGGAGCCAGCAUCGUGAUCACAACAUAUGCAGUUUUCCUGUGGCUGAUGACCCAGCAGUGGUGGUGUGGAGGGGCCCCUCAUGCUCCACUCUGCUUUUCUCUCUUGCUUAUUCUGAAGAAACUAGCUGCCUUGUUCUGAGUUACUCUGUGGAGAGACCCACAUAUUAAGGAACUGAGAGCAUGACCACUGGCCAACAGCCCUGGAGUGAUUGAAUGUUUCCAAAAACCACUCACAUGAGCUUGGAAGAGGAUCAUUCCCCGUUCAAACCUUCAGCUGAGACUGCAGCCCUGCCGAUACCUUGAUUGCAACCUGGUGGGAUGCUUCUAAGACACCUCCAUUCCAGUUUCUGCACAUCUGCUUGACUCAUGGGAAGCUCAUGCAUCCUUGGCACCUGGAUCAGGGUCUCAAUCAGAUGCCAGUCUCCCCAGACUUCAGGGAAUUCACAGCAAACUAGAGAUAUUUCCUGUAAGUUCCUCUCACCAGGCAAGGCUGUGGUCAGGAGUCAUUGCCUCUCUCCUCUUCCAAGGGGACUGAGACUAACUUCAUACUGGACUACUUUCUCCAGAAAAAUCCUCUCCCCAGUUUCCAACUUCAGCCUUUUCAGAGAUGGCCGUUGGACCAAGAGUCAGAAAACUAUUUCCAUUUAGACCCUUUGCAAGGUUGGAAAUGUCAGGUAUUUGAACAUUUCAUUUUGUUUUUGGCCCAUAGAGCCUCAACUGAAACCAAGACCCAAAUAUUCCAUUUUAGCAUCCUGUUAUAUGCAUACAGUUGCUGUUCAGUCCAUGGUGCUUUGUAACUUUUACAUUGUUGUGGGAGAUUUACUGCACUGAUGGACCUCGUCAAUGGUAUCCACACUCUUUGCCAUGGCUUGUUAGCCCCUCUCAUCAAGGGUUGAAGUCUAUUUCCCAAUCCUUGGAUUUGGGCUAGUCUUGUGAUUGCUUUGACCAACAGAAUGUGGCAGAAGGAACAUUAUACCUUUUCUGAGCCUGGGAACAAGAGACCCUGAAUGAUUUUGGCCUGUCUCUUGGAGUCCUCCUGCUGUCCUGUGAAUAAACCUGUGGGCGGAAUGACAGACUAUGUGAAUAAGAGCAGAAUCAGCUCAGUUGUCCCAGAUGUGUGAGAAAGCCCCACCAAGAUUGGCAGAGCCACCUAGCCUCACCACAGAAAUAUAUGCAAACCCCACCAAGCUCAGCUCAGAUGAUCAGAACUGCCCAGCUGACCCACUGACUUGUGAGUGAAAAUAAUCGAUGGUUACCGUACGUGCUGAGGCUUUGUGGUUGUUUGUUACGCAGCAUUAUGGUAACCGAUACAUUGUACUGGGUAGCUAAUGAGGGAGUGUUUUUUGAGCAGAGGACCCUCUCAAAUAUCAGGGGACAAAGCUGACUGCUGGCUUGGCCUUGUCAUCCAUGCACAUCCCUUCCGGAGGAAGACUGUUUUUCUUUUCCUUAGGCACCCUCAGCUUCAGCCUGGAUAGAUUCCUCCUGGGCUUGUCAAAACUUUCCAGAAUGCAGUACAGCAAACAGGGAUUCCUCUGGCAGCUUGUUAGGAUAAUUGAAAUGUGGGUGGAAGCUCAUUAAGCUCCCCUUUGUCAACAUUCUUCCUUCCAGGCCUGGAGAAGCUGUGAGUUCUGUCACAUCCCAUUAG